GUUCGUAUCCUUAUGGAAGCCUUAUAAUAUCAGUCUGCUUUAACCAUAAAGUGGGCAACAUCAGGCAUCUGGCUGGAAAAUAAUAGCUUUAAGCUUAAUGACCAGCAGCCCUUUGGGUUCACAGAUCAAGUACUGGUGGUCCUGGAAGCCUAUUCUUUAGGCUCCAUUAGGAUUGAAAUAUGACCGACACCCCCUAAAUACUAGGGAGGAUUAUGUGUUCCGUAGGUGAACCUGCGGAAGGAUCAUUACUAGUUUAGGGUACUCAGUGCCCAAACUUCAACCCCAUGAUUUAAUUACUUGUUUCUUUGCCGGGUUUUAUUAUCCGGCAGAAGAUUUAUAAAACCCAACUGUUAAUUUGUCAUCUGAAAUUUGAUAAAUAAAUCAAGUAUAAAACUUUCAACAACGGAUCUCUUGGUUCUGGCAUCGAUGAAGAACGCAGCGAAAUGCGAUAAGUAAUGUGAAUUGCAGAAUUCAGUGAAUCAUCGAAUUUUUGAACGCAUAUUGCGCCCUUUGGCAUUCCGAAGGGCAUGCCUGUUCGAGCGUCAUUAUAACCCUCAAACUUAGGUUUGAUGUUGGGCAUCUUGCCUUUAAGGCAUGCCUAAAAUUUAGUGAUGGUAACCUUUAACCACAAGCGCACAGAUGCUGCUAUGAUGGAAGAGGGUCACUAUUCUAACCCCCAAUUUUCUAAAUGUUGACCUCGGAUCAGGUAGGGAUACCCGCUGAACUUAAGCAUAUCAAUAAGCGGAGGA
rnacentral:rRNA from 1 species